GCUUCUGAUGUUUUUUUCUGCUACUAUUUUUUCUGCAAGUUUAAUUCUAACAACAUUUCAACUUUCACAUAUUCUCUGAGGACAAAAAAAAAAUGAAUGAAAAUAAAUAAAAUGCAGGACAUUCACUUAAAGUUUUGCUCACAAAGACGCGGCGACUGGCCACAUGGGGGACUACCGCAACUGACCAUGGCCCGUGCCGGGCCCAAGGCCCCAAACGCCUGAGCUCCGAACAGCGACGGCGGCGGGUCUAGAAUAUUUGAAUGCCUUCCCGCUCUUAACACUUUGAUGCUGAUGAUAUUUUAUAUGUAUUUAUUUAGAGAACCAAAAAAAAAUGAGGGAGGCACGCAAGAUUUAAUAUUAAAGAAGUUCCGGUAUAUUUUGGAUUCAUGGGUAUAUUA